rnacentral:tRNA from 26 species
GGGCGGUUAGUCUCAGUUGGUAGAGCACUGCCUUCACACGGCAGGGGUCGCUGGUUCGAGUCCAGUACCGCCCACCA